GACGAACGCUGGCGGCGUGCUUAACACAUGCAAGUCGAACGAGAAUCAAUGGAUAGAGGAUUCGUCCAAUUGAAGUUGAGGAAAGUGGCGGACGGGUGAGUAACGCGUGAGGAACCUGCCUUUCAGAGGGGGACAACAGUUGGAAACGACUGCUAAUACCGCAUAACGCAUAGAGGUCGCAUGAUCUUUAUGCCAAAGAUUUAUCGCUGAAAGAUGGCCUCGCGUCUGAUUAGCUAGUUGGUGAGGUAACGGCCCACCAAGGCGACGAUCAGUAGCCGGACUGAGAGGUUGACCGGCCACAUUGUGACGGAGAGACGGUCCAGACUCCUACGGGAGGCAGAAGUGGCGAAUAUUGGGCAAUGGGCGCAAGCCUGACCCAGCAACGCCGCGUGAAGGAAGAAGGCUUUCGGGUUGUAAACUUCUUUGACAGGGGAAGAGUAGAAGACGGUACCCUGAAAACAAGCCACGGCUAACUACGUGCCAGCAGCCGCCGUAAGAC
rnacentral:rRNA from 1 species